GGGUGUGGCCGGCAGGGGGGAAUUUCUUGUAAGUACAAAGGCCCAGAGGCAAGAGAAAGAUGGCGUGUUGGGGGAAAAAGGAAAUCCUUUGAUGCGAUCCGGCAAAUGGAAAGAGAAAAAUGUUCCUGUACACGCACCCGGAGGCUUUUGCAGGAGGCGGCUGUUGGAGAACUGGGAAAACAAGCCAAGAAACAAGAGAGAGGAAAAAGACCACGCCUCGCUUGGCAGAUUCCUAAUGGCCCAGGAGACCUGAGGCUUUACAGUGGGAGGCCGGUGGGGGCUGGCUCGGGUGGGAGGGAAGGGCAGGCCGAAGGACAGCCACUUGCUGGCCAGUGACCUUGGGCGGGAUGCUGCCUGCUUCCCUCUGGUGAGAAUGGGGAGGAGGGGGCAGGGGCCAGGCUGGCCCGCUAAGGUCACAGG
ensembl:lncRNA